rnacentral:rRNA from 1 species
GAUUAUGGCUCAGACGAACGCUGGCGGCAUGGAUUAGGCAUGCAAGUCGAACGGUGUAGCAAUACACAGUGGCGGAAGGGUGAGGAACACGUGAAUAAUCUGACCCUCAAGUUGGGAAUAACUUUCCGAAAGGAAAGCUAAUACCGAAUGUGGUUGUUUUAUCGCAUGAUAGGACAACUAAAGAUUUAUCGCUUGAGGAUGAGUUCGCGUCCCAUUAGCUAGUUGGCGGGGUAACGGCCCACCAAGGCAGAGAUGGGUAGCUGGUCUGAGAGGAUGAUCAGCCACACUGGGACUGAGACACUGCCCAGACUCCUACGGGAGGCUGCAGUCGAGAAUCUUUUGCAAUGCGCGAAAGCGUGACAAAGCAAUGCCGCGUGCCGGAUGAAGGUCUUCGGAUUGUAAACGGCUGUCACUCGGGACGAAAAAUGACGGUACCGAGGGAGGAAGCCACGGCUAACUACGUGCCAGCCGCCGC